rnacentral:rRNA from 1 species
AUUGAACGCUGGCGGAAUGCUUUACACAUGCAAGUCGAACGGUAGAGGGGGCAACCCCUUGAGAGUGGCGAACGGGUGAGUAAUAUAUCGGAACGUGCCCAGUCGUGGGGAUAACGUAGCGAAAGUUACGCUAAUACCGCAUACGAUCUAAGGAUGAAAGCGGGGGAUCGCAAGACCUCGCGCGAUUGGAGCGGCCGAUAUCAGAUUAGGUAGUUGGUGGGGUAAAGGCUCACCAAGCCAACGAUCUGUAGCUGGUCUGAGAGGACGACCAGCCACACUGGAACUGAGACACGGUCCAGACUCCUACGGGAGGCAGCAGUGGGGAAUUUUGGACAAUGGGCGCAAGCCUGAUCCAGCAAUGCCGCGUGCAGGAUGAAGGCCUCGGUUGUAACUAGCUUUGUUACGGAACGAACGGUAGAGCUCU